AGAAGGAGUAAAUUGGUGGGAAUGGCGGGAGUAGGGGGAGAGAGAGAGAGAGAGAGAGAGAGAAGGUCGGCAUAGUUUCUGUUCUGGUAAAUGUUUUCAGGCAAUUUGUUUAGUGGACGCCAUCCAUUGAUCGUAUUCCAAAAUUGAUGGCGGUGCUUCCAUUAAGCGGGAAAACGAAAUACAUCUAAGUCUUCUCUGUUGUUCAUAAAUUGUUUGCUCCACCAUCUAGUCAAACAGACUCUAUGAGAAUUUAUGUCCAAUGAUUGAUAGAGGUUUAGUACGUCAUACGAAUUGGAUUUUCCUAGACAAAUGGAGAUUGUUUUGCUCGAUAUCAACGUUGAAUAUUGCCAGUAUGAGGUAGAGGAAAUUUGCUUUUUUUACUCCGCCUUUUGAUUUAGGAUAGAAAUUGUAAUAUGAAUGCAAAUGAAUCGCUUUAAACUACCUCCUCUUCUACUAUCCAGCCGGUAUAAAUAUUUAAAAAAUUUGGCCCGCCGAUCAAAUAUUUAAACUUUAAUGCCCGCGCUAUCGAUUUAAUAAAGAUUUUAACCGACCGACGAUUUUUAAUUUCUUCUGGCCGGUCGGUACCGGCGACCAUUUAUACGCCUAUUACCCAUAAUUAAUUUGCCCACCUAGGUGGCGCCCCUGUCCCGGCUUUUCUGGGUCUGGCUGCGAUGUUCAGUCGUCGACCGUCCGACCGGUCACGUUUCGCUACCGUAACGGCUCGACAUCGAGUUCUGGCUUAAAUUUAUCUGCACUUUUUAUCCGCAUCUCGCUUCUAAUGGUAAUUAUAGUCAGAAAGGAAUUUUUCUUAUCUAUUCUAGACGCGAAGUAACGCUACCGUUUCCACAGACAGCCUCCACCGAGACUGGGGCCGUUUUUAAAUUUCCAUCGGUUACCUCCAAAUCGGGGAAUUCUGUGGCUCUUCGGUAUCCAUCCGAGGAAAUGACCACGGUCCCCCGUCGGCACCCACCGCGGAAGAAUAAAGGAGCACCCGCCCUCGGAAAUUAAAUGUUUCUUUUCCACUUCGGGAGAGAGUUUUGUAUUUACGGCUAGGCCUAGUCUGGUUCCAGCCAAAAAAUCGCGGUUAAGAAAAAACGAGUCGAGAAUAGUGGAAGAAGGUGGUUAUCUCGGCGCCGCAUCCGGGAGAUAGGAGGCGGAAAAGGGGUGAGAGGAAGUUGGCGGGUUUGAUCCCUUAACGGCGGGCGUACAAAGCGCGGACGAGAGGUGGGACGGGUAGGAGGGACGAGAGUUGUUACUUAAAACUGGCAGCGUAAUCAAACGGUUUUCACGGCUUUCUAACUGCGCAACAACUUUUCUAACACGAUUGGAAUUGAUUCCAACUCCCGCUAAAUCAGAUUGUAGAAAAGAGGAGACAGAUUGCCGGCGAAAUCCCCAGUGGCACUCAACAGAAAUGAUGGAUUGGACAUACCAUAUCGGAGUGUUUUAAUCCAGAAUUUGAUCCAGUACCGUAGGUGGAUUUUAAAUACCCCCUUCCCCCUCUCCCUCUUCGGCUAGAGAGUGAUUGAUGUUGUACUACUCGGUGUCAGAAAGUUUUUUUAAUCAUUUUUUUUUCGCCGUUUGGAAAAUAGUAAAGUGAAUAAUUUAAUUGGCGGAGAAAAACCUACUGUCAAAUUUGGCAUCUAGUCGGUUUUUGAUUAGCCGUAUAGACGAUUGGAGACGCGUCACUCAAGCCCGUUUCUAAAAGUAAGCGUACCGGCCAUUUUUACCUGGCUAGUCGAAAGGGGAAGGUUUAUUGGGAGCGCGGGCCAAAGAAAAACGUUCAACAGGUGCCGGUCGGGGACUUUACCGGGGCCAAACCCACUCUUCCCCUAACAUAAAUAAAUGUCUCCAUUUAUAAAGAGGCGCAUCGAUCACUCCGCUGCCAGAGACCGUUUUCCGAGUGGUAACUAGAAAUUUCGAUAAACGGCGGAUAGGUAGAUGGAAUUUGCAGCCGGGAAAAGGCGGUCUUAGACUUAAGUCGGUCCGACCGCUGUCCUCGGUUUAAAGAGGAGCCAGCGGUCGACCCGAUUUCUGAUGGAACCGACUCGAUUUCUGAUGGAAGUGGCGGCGGUUAACACUUAGUAGGAAAUUAAAAUACGGUCGGUAGGAAACAGAGUCCGACUCGACCCCCGUCCCACUAUAAAAAGAAGAAAUUUUCUGGGUUACUUCUUUUUCGCUAACAAGGAGAGGAAAUUUAUGGUGGAAUAGCGCGCAGCCUGUGAACGGUUUAAUAGCUGGCAGGUGCAACAAAAUCGUGUGAAGUUCCAUUAAGAAUAAAUUGAAGGUUGAAUAGAUUCUUAAAGAAACAGUCUCUCGGCCUGGCCAUUCAUUUAUUUACGUGGUUCUCCUCUAAUCGAUCAGUUGUGUGUAAUUAUUUUCUUCCAUUGGUGGUAAUUGCGUUUUUCACAACUUUUUUCUUCGCUUCUACUCGGCCUUAUCCGGUUAAAAGUGGCGAAGAACCAGAUUUUCAAUUUGAUAAGAAUGUUCGAAAUUAAGAGACCGGAAUAUCCCCGUCAUUAGAUGGCAGAAUGCGGACUCUUAAUGACGUCCCGCUACGGCUUAGCCGUAACCGGGACCGGCCCUUAAUAUACAAUUAGAUCGGCUCCAAAUGGCCGGAUGGACCGGGACGGCCGAGUCGAAGGUGUAGGACCCGAGGGGCAAACCCGUGAGUUGGCUGGGCCCCCUGGCGCUGGGGCCCAGACCCGCGGACCUUUUAUCGGCCCAGUCGGCCAUUUGUCUUCCCGGGCUAGUAGCUGUAAGAGGCGACGGCCCCCCAUCUUCUCCGUUCGACCAGAAAAUGCGUCCCGGUCUUACCGGUAGGGGAAAUAACGUCGGUGGCCGGUCUAAAAAUAGCCAGCGCCAGGGUCGUCCUUCGUACACUUUCGUCGGCGAGGUGAACGACCAGUCAGGGUCGACCGGUUGGGUAAACAGGGCCAACUGCCAAUCAUUAAUAUUAUUGUAACACGAAAAAUUUUUCUAAUUAUUCAUGAAUGGUUAAUCAAGAAAUUACAUUAAGCGCGGCUAUUUAUAAAAAUUCCUCGGCCGUGCCGCUUCCUUUUAUCCCUCCAGUCUCGACGACAACAAUUAAUUUUUAAGACACUUUUAAUCCUGGCCGGGUUGCAGACCGCUACCUCCAGACAUUAAUUAACCUAUAUUAAAACUCUUUCUCCAAAAACUCUUUCCCAUUUUUCCCGCCGAAAGAUGUACCGUUCUUCUUCCGUCCGGCCCUUCCCCACCAAUUCCCAAUUAAAUAUUAAAAUUGGUCGGGCCGUCCGCCCUAACCAAAUAUAACAUCCGAUAAAGACGCUUCCGUCUUUUAAUCCCCUUCUUUCUUUCCCUACUUCUCAUCCACCCAAAACAUCACCACCCCUCGAGUGGUUUCCCGGCCCGAUAAUUACGCCCCCACUUUUCUUCCACCAUUUUGGUAGAAACUGGUGUUACCCGACACGGUUAAAUCGACGAAAGCCAAGUAACCGACGGUAGGUAAAGUGACCUAUAAAAUUCCGAAAUAUCGACAGUGGCGGUAUUUCCUCUUAUCUUUUCCACCACCGACAGGUGGCGCGAUUCUUUUUACCAAUAACACGGUUAACCACCUACGGCCGACCAUUCCUACUGCGGUGGGUUUAAAUAAAUUGUAUGGUUUUCUGUAAGGAUUUAAUAGUUUUUGGAAAUCGCACUCUGGGGAAAGUAAGGACCACCCGAGAGUUUCGCUCUUAUGGGAAUAAGGUAAGCGGCUAAAGGAAUGACGGUGGUGGGUGGGAAACGUUUCCAAAAAUUAAGAUAUCUACCAAAUACGGGAUAGUAGAUAAACCGAGGGUUUUUCCCCGGCCGAAGAAGAAGCCGGUCCGACAGGCGAAACGGAGGUAAAGAGGGGUGUGCCGAGCUAGCCUCGGCCCCAUCGACGGGCCGCUAGCCCCGUAGUAGCCACAAAAAGAGAAAAGCGGACGAUAAUAAAGGUUUGUUGAUAGCGGCCGGAGAAAGGAAAAAGGAAAACCGUCAUUUAUAAAAUUCUAAUAACCAGUUUAGCUUUGACGUAACAAAACAAUGGUGGACGAUGACCCAAUCUCGUCCGUGGCUGUUUAAGAAUGAGGAAGCGACCACUUUUAACCUCGAUUAGAAAGCCGGCUGGGCCCGGAUGCCACUUUUUUAAAAUCCCCUUUCUCUAUCGUUUAACCGUGUCGCUUCGGGAAGUGUCGAGCCCGGUUAGUAAGAGUUAAAUGAAUGGCGGAUGUCACCUAAUCAGUUAAUGAUUCGAGUAGGAAUCGCUCCUUCCACCUCGCCCGUACACAGCCCGUUAGCCACGAACAAACCGUGUUAAUAGCAUUAAGCGCCGCUUUUUUUUUGUCCCGCCUGUUGUGCGCCUGUGUGUUAGUUUUUCUUCUUUU
rnacentral:lncRNA from 1 species